GGCAAAAUGAUGAAAACUUUGUUAUCUGAAACUGAUGUGGAACUUAUAUCAUCAUGGUCUUCAAAGUUCUCUGAUUGUU